CAGUUUGUGGGGAAGUAUGAGACCCUUGUGUUUUACUGGCCGUUGCUGCUGUGCCUUGCCUUCCUGCUGGGUCGCUUCCUGCAUAUGUUUGUCAAGGCUCUGAGGGUGCACCUCGGCUGGGAGCUCCAGGUGGAAGAAAAAUCUGUCCUGGAAGCGCACCAGGGAGAGCACGUCAAGCAGCUCCUGAGGAUACCCCGCCCUGAGAAAAAAAAGUCUUGGUUCCAAACCAGGAUAUAUGAGUGGGAUCCCUGCUUUCAAUUUCCAAGCAGAAUGAUUGGAACCAUUGUGUUGGCAUUCAUCUGCCUUAUCUUUUCAUUGUCAUCGAGUUCUGCAUGUUUGUGUACGUGAGAGAUAAGUUGGACAUGUUUGAAAACAAGCUGGAAAGCUACAUCACCUUCACGAACCAUUCAGGGGUCCUGACCCCAGUCAUCCUGCAGGUGAAAGAGCUGAUCAAUGUCAGCAAAGUCUGGGUGGUGACCAUUUUGCCCACCUCUCUCACGUGUGUGAGCUAUCUGUUCCACAUUUUGGUCUGUUACAAGCACAUAAAGAGGCUAUGGGCAGGAGAUAAACAUUUUCUUCCUUUGAAGUUCCAUAACCCGGCCUCGUCGGAGAGCGUGGUGGCCAUUGCAAGGUACUCUGGCUGGCAAAUAGUCUAUAUUCUAUGGUACCUCAUCAUUCACAUGGUGCAGAGCCUAUGUGGCAUGGCAAUCACGUACGGCCUGGUGCUACCCAUCGUCCACAACCAGGGCCUGGAAAUGCUGCAAGGGCUGGGCAUCGGGACUCAUGAUAUCCAUCGUCGUGGGUCUCAUGAUCCUGCAGAUGUGUAUCGCUGCCAGCUUCUUCCUGCAGCCAAAGCUGGGCACGGCUGACAAGCAGAAGCCCCUGGCUCUCAACAACAAAGCUUUCCACAACUUCAACUACUUUCUGUUCUUCUACAGUGUGCUGCUGGGCCUGGGUGCCUGCCUUUCCAGGCUGCUCAUCAGUUGCCUCCUCGGCAUGUGGCUGAUUGCCCACAUCGACAGGACCAUCAUGCAGAGUGGCUAUGAGGGAGCAGACAUGUUCAGUGCAUGGAUUGGGAUGCUCUACGUGGACCAUUAUCACACCAACCCUGUGCUUGUCAGCUUUUGCCACAUCCUGAUCACAAAUCACAGGGAGAAGAAGCUGCAGCAGAGCACCAAAUACUGGUGCCUAAAUCAAUCGGCACCCCAUGUCUCAGCUAGGUCCAGAACAAGGUGGUUCCUGUUGCAGACCCUAAUCAACAACCCAAGACUCACCAUGCACAGAAAACUAAAAUCAGGGCACAGUUCCCAGGAGUCCCAAAUUCUGAAGGCAUGCUCGGAG
rnacentral:sRNA from 1 species